GACAGAGGGGGCAAGCGUUGCUCGGAAUCACUGGGCGUAAAGGGCGCGUAGGCGGGCUGGCAAGUCGGUCGUGAAAUCCCUCGGCUCAACCGAGGAGCGUCGGCCGAUACUGCCGUUCUUGAGGGAUGCAGAGGAGACUGGAAUUCCCGGUGUAGCGGUGAAAUGUGUAGAGAUCGGGAGGAACACCGGUGGCGAAGGCGGGUCUCUGGGCAUCUCCUGACGCUGAGGCGCUAAGGCCAGGGGAGCAAACGGG
rnacentral:rRNA from 1 species